UACGGAGGGGGCUAGCGUUGUUCGGAAUUACUGGGCGUAAAGCGCACGUAGGCGGACUGUUAAGUCGGGGGUGAAAUCCUGGGGCUCAACCUCAGAAUUGCCUCCGAUACUGGCAGUCUCGAGUGCGGGAGAGGUGAGUGGAAUUCCCAGUGUAGAGGUGAAAUUCGUAGAUAUUGGGAAGAACACCAGUGGCGAAGGCG
rnacentral:rRNA from 1 species